GUGGGGAAUAUUGGGCAAUGGGCGAAAGCCUGACCCAGCAACGCCGCGUGAGGGAAGAAGGCCUUCGGGUUGUAAACCUCUGUCCUUGGUGACGAAGAAAGUGACGGUAGCCAAGGAGGAAGCCCCGGCUAACUACGUGCCAGCAGCCGCGGUAAUACGUAGGGGGCGAGCGUUGUCCGGAAUUACUGGGCGUAAAGGGUGCGUAGGUGGCCUUUUAAGUUGGAUGUGAAAUACCCGGGCUUAACUUGGGGGGUGCAUCUAAUACUGGGAGGCUAGAGUGCAGGAGAGGGAAGCGGAAUUCCUAGUGUAGCGGUGAAAUGCGUAGAUAUUAGGAGGAACACCAGUGGCGAAGGCGGCUUUCUGGACUGUAACUGACACUGAGGCACGAAAGCGUGGGGAGCAAACAGGAUUAGAAACCCUGGUAGUCC
rnacentral:rRNA from 1 species